UUUUUAUCUGGCUCAGAUUGAACGCUGGCGGCAUGCUUUACACAUGCAAGUCGAACGGUAACAGGGAGCUUGCUCCGCUGACGAGUGGCGAACGGGUGAGUAAUGCGUCGGAACGUGCCGAGUAGUGGGGGAUAACUAUCCGAAAGGAUAGCUAAUACCGCAUACGCUUUGAGAAGGAAAGCAGGGGAUCGCAAGACCUUGCGCUAUUCGAGCGGCCGACGUCUGAUUAGCUAGUUGGUGAGGUAAAGGCUCACCAAGGCAUCGAUCAGUAGCGGGUCUGAGAGGAUGAUCCGCCACACUGGGACUGAGACACGGCCCAGACUCCUACGGGAGGCAGCAGUGGGGAAUUUUGGACAAUGGGCGCAAGCCUGAUCCAGCCAUGCCGCGUGUCUGAAGAAGGCCUUCGGGUUGUAAAGGACUUUUGUCAGGGAGGAAAUCCCUAGCGCUAAUAUCGCUGGGGGAUGANCAGUACCGAAGGU
rnacentral:rRNA from 1 species